GGCAGUGUGGCCUAGUGGAAAUAGCAUGGGGCUGGGAACCAGAGGACCUGGGUUCUAAUCCCUGCUCUGCCA
rnacentral:tRNA from 1 species